UCGUCACACUAUCAUUAACUGAAUCCAUAGGUUAAUGAGGCGAACCGGGGGAACUGAAACAUCUAAGUACCCCGAGGAAAAGAAAUCAACCGAGAUUCCCCCAGUAGCGGCGAGCGAACGGGGAGGAGCCCAGAGCCUGAAUCAGCAUGUGUGUUAGUGGAAGCGUCUGGAAAGGCGCGCGAUACAGGGUGACAGCCCCGUACACAAAAGUGCAUGUGCUGUGAGCUCGAUGAGUAGGGCGGGACACGUGGUAUCCUGUCUGAAUAUGGGGGGACCAUCCUCCAAGGCUAAAUACUCCUGACUGACCGAUAGUGAACCAGUACCGUGAGGGAAAGGCGAAAAGAACCCCGGCGAGGGGAGUGAAAAAGAACCUGAAACCGUGUACGUACAAGCAGUGGGAGCACCCUUUGGGGUGUGACUGCGUACCUUUUGUAUAAUGGGUCAGCGACUUAUAUUCUGUAGCAAGGUUAACCGAAUAGGGGAGCCGGAGGGAAACCGAGUCUUAAUUGGGCGUUAAGUUGCAGGGUAUAGACCCGAAACCCGGUGAUCUAGCCAUGGGCAGGUUGAAGGUUGGGUAACACUAACUGGAGGACCGAACCGACUAAUGUUGAAAAAUUAGCGGAUGACCUGUGGCUGGGGGUGAAAGGCCAAUCAAACCGGGAGAUAGCUGGUUCUCCCCGAAAGCUAUU
rnacentral:rRNA from 1 species